CACUUGAUGUAACUUUAUACAAAAAUCAACAAAAGUAUGGCUUGCUUGAAUGACGAGAUAAAAUCGUUAUAUCGUAGUCGCCAUCUGUCGCUACAAUGUUUUGUUUCAUAUAUUUUUUA